GUGGACACCGAAUGGGAACUAAAAUUUCCUAUGGUAACCGUGCGAGCCCUAGAGCAUAUCGAGGCAUUAUCGGAUCAUGCACCCAUCAUUCUGGAUUCUAACUCUAUGAACUCAGCAGCCCGUCGCCCUUUCAAAUUUGAAUUGGGAUGGCUGCAUCGGGAUGGAUUUGUAGACAUAAUCAAGAAUGUUUGGGAGAAUCCCGCCGUUGGUCGCACACCUAUUCAUAGAUGGAACUUUAAAAUAAGGGCCAUGAGGCAACACCUCGCUGGAUGGGCGAAACACACCAACGGGAUAUAUAAAAAAGAAAAACAACGGCUCUCUACCAUUAUUGACGACCUCGACAAGAUUGUAGAGACACGCACCUUAUCUCAACAAGAGAUUGAAUUAAAGAAUCAAUCUAAUGAGAAGGUCGCCCGUCUUUUGCGAGAAGAGGAGAUCAAAUACUACCAGAGAUCCAAAGCUGAUCUCAUAUUGAUGGGUGAUAGUAAUACAAGAUACUUCCAAUUGAUCGCCAAUGGGCGACAUAGGAAGAAAUGUAUUUACAGUCUCCAACAAGAUGAGGGGCUGAUCGAAGGUCAGGAGGAGCUCAAAAAGUAUAUCACCAAAUACUAUAAAUCGUUGUUCGGCGCGCCGGCUGAGGGGAACUUCACCCUUGACGAGACCCGAACAGAUGAUAUUCCACAAGUCACGGCAGAAGAAAAUGAUAUCCUAACGGCACCAUUCUCAGAAGAGAAGGUGAGAGCGGCGGUGUUCCAAAUGGAGCAUAACAAAGCUCCAGGCCCAGAUGGUUUCCCCGCAGAAUUCUAUCAGAAUUUCUGGGAUAUCAUCAAGAAUGACCUUUUGGAGUUGUUUAAUUGUCUUCAUGCUGACCGACUAGACCUAUUCAGACUUAACUUUGGCGAGAUUGUCUUGUUGCCAAAGAUUAAGGAGGCCGAACGGAUCCAACAGUUCAGACCCAUAUGCCUCCUUAAUGUUAGCUUCAAGAUCUUUACCAAAGUGAAUAUGAGUGGAGUAGUAUUUAAAAUCGACUUUGAGAAGGCCUAUGACAAGGUCAAAUGGUCUUUCCUCCAACAGGCCCUAAGAAUGAAAGGUUUCUCUGAUAAAUGGCGCCAAUGGAUCCAAAAUUUUGUAACUGGAGGUAGUGUGGCCAUCAAAGUCAAUGAUGAUUUAGGCCAUUACUUCCAGACAAAAAAAGGACUACAACAGGGUGACCCCAUGUCCCCAAUGUUAUUUAACAUUGUUGUUGACAUGUUGGCUAUUCUGAUUGAGCGUGCCAAGCAGGACGGCCAGAUUGCAGGAGUAGUGCCA
rnacentral:rRNA from 1 species